GGAGCUGUAGCUCAGUUGGUAAAGCACCUGCUUCACAACCAGGAGGUUCCAGGUUCAAUCCCUGGCGACUCCA